UACGAAGGGGGCUAGCGUUGCUCGGAAUUACUGGGCGUAAAGUGCGCGUAGGCGGAUAUUUAAGUUAGAGGUGAAAGCCCAGGGCUCAACCCUGGAAUAGCCUUUAAUACUGGAUAUCUUGAGUUCGGGAGAGGUGAGUGGAAUGCCGAGUGUAGAGGUGAAAUUCGUAGAUAUUCGGCGGAACACCAGUGGCGAAGGCGACUCACUGGCCCGAUACUGACGCUGAGGCGCGAAAGCGUGGGGAGCAAACAGG
rnacentral:rRNA from 1 species